UUUACAAAGUGCACUAGAGCCA
rnacentral:miRNA from 1 species